rnacentral:rRNA from 1 species
UACGAAGGGGGCUAGCGUUGCUCGGAAUCACUGGGCGUAAAGGGUGCGUAGGCGGGUCUUUAAGUCAGGGGUGAAAUCCUGGAGCUCAACUCCAGAACUGCCAUUGAUACUGGUUGACUUGAGUACAGACGAGGUUGGCGGAAUUGAUGGUGUAGCGGUGAAAUGCAUAGAUACCAUCAAGAACACCGAUUGCGAAGGCAGCUAACUAGGCUGUAACUGACGCUGAGGCACGAAAGUGUGGGGAUCAAACAGG